GCCCAACCCAAGUUUGCACCCUGAAUCGUUCUCGUAUGUUGACCAGUCCCGUCCACUCGCGCCCAAAACCCUAACCCUAGCUCAAAUCGCUCCUUCUAUUACUAUCCCCCUUUUUCCCUUCCGACCUCCGCCGUCUCACCGCCGACGAGGUUCUCCGAUCACCACAGCAUCAGAGAGAGAGGGAGGGAGCUUGAUUCGAGAUGGAUACCAAUGGCGGCAGCGCGGAGGCCUCGAGGCAGAUCCGCGUCCGCUUCACCACCAAGCUCCCGCCGCGGCUGCGAGUCCCGACCACCUCCCUCGCCGUCCCCUCCAAUCUCACACGAAUGGGCCUCUCGGAAAUCGUCAACCAUCUCCUGAAGAACAUGGAUUCCGAGUUCCAGUUUCAACCAUUUGACUUUCUUGUCGACGGCGAGCUCAUACGAAUGCCGUUGGAGCAGUUCCUUUUGGCCAAGGGCAUCUCAGCGGAGAAAGUACUUGAAGUCGAAUACGUAAGGGCUGUAGCUCCGAGAAAGCAGGAGGAUCCUUGUUUGCAUGAUGAUUGGGUCAGUGCUGUCGAUGGUUCGAACCCAAGUUUCAUACUAACAGGGUGCUAUGAUGGUCUUGCAAGGAUAUGGAAAGGCGGAGCAGUGUGUACACACAUUUUUGAGGGGCAUAGUGGUGCAAUUACUUCUGCAAGUGUCAUCAAUCGCAAAGGAGUUGAGAGUGGAAACAGCUUCUAUUUGGCAACAGGUUCAAAAGAUCGGUCAUUGAGACUGUGGAAGUUUGAUGCAGCCGAACAUGUGGAGCAUCCACUGAGGAUCAGAGCAUAUAAAAUUCUUAAAGGACACACAGCAUCUGUCCAGAGCAUCUCUUCAUCCCCUUCUCGAGAAAUGGUAUGUUCAGGUUCGUGGGACUGCUCUAUCAAGUUGUGGAAUGUGAAGGAGUCUGAAGCAGAGGGUGAUACCGUGUCAAUAAAGAAGAGAAAGCUUCAUUCUGAUGCAGCAGAACAUGAAGAAUCUCAGUUGGAGGGCACGUCUACUUCAACACUUGUUGGACAUACUCAGUGUGUUUCUUCAGUUGUUUGGCCAGAAGCUCAGACUAUAUAUUCUGCAUCAUGGGAUCAUUCUGUCAGACAGUGGGAUGUUCAAACAGGCAACGAGACCUGGAACAUGGCCUGUGGAAAAGCAUUAAAUUGCCUCGAUGUUGGUGGGGAGAGCUCUGCACUUGUAGUUGCAGGUGGCUCUGACCCAGUUUUGAGGAUAUGGGAUCCUCGAAAUCCAGGAACUCUCGCUCCUAUCUUUCAGUUUUCAUCCCAUUCAUCUUGGGUCACUGCUUGCAAGUGGCACGUGAGGUCAUGGCUUCAUUUGUUAUCGGCUUCUUAUGAUGGGAAGGUGAUGUUGUGGGAUUUGAGAACAGCGUGGCCAUUGGCAACCAUAGACUCGCACAAAGACAAGGUACUCACUGCAGACUGGUGGAAAGAUGAUAGCAUAAUAAGUGGAGGAGCUGAUUCAAAGCUCUGCAUUUGUUCUGGAAUAGCAAUCUAGUGUAGCACAGGGUAAUUUCCUUUUGAUGAUUUCCUUUCCCAAGAGGUGGCUUUUCACUUCCUAAAGAGCAGCAAAUGUUCAUCACACUGCAAUCAUAUUCCCGAACGUUAGCUGAUGGGAGUGCAGAACAUGAUGGGUGCAAGCAACAUCACUUGGAAGUAUUUUUGGGUCAUCACCAUCCCGACCAGUAACUGUGCAAAGAAGCCUUUCAGUGGGUGUGGUUUAGAAUUUACUGAAUUGUACUGUUUCAUUUUACAAAAUAUAUCAUUAUUUGAUGUUAUGAAUGCUAUUGUACCAUGAUAUAGUACUUAAAUUCCAAGGACAUAGGAAUGGUCAAUCAAAAUGAGUGUUAUUAUUA